rnacentral:rRNA from 1 species
GUGAGGAAUAUUGGUCAAUGGACGAGAGUCUGAACCAGCCAAGUCGCGUGAAGGAAGACGGUUCUAUGAAUUGUAAACUUCUUUUGUGCAGGAAUAAAGUGGGUUACGUGUAACCUUUUGUAUGUACUGUACGAAUAAGGAUCGGCUAACUCCGUGCCAGCAGCCGCGGUAAUACGGAGGAUCCGAGCGUUAUCCGGCUUUAUCGGGUUUAAAGGGUGCGUAGGUGGAUUGAUAAGUCAGCGGUGAAAGUUUGCAGCUUAACUGUAAAAUUGCCGUUGAAACUGUCGGUCUUGAGUGCAAAUGAGGUAGGCGGAAUGUGUUGUGUAGCGGUGAAAUGCUUAGAUAUAACACAGAACUCCGAUUGCGAAGGCAGCUUACUGGGAUGCAACUGACACUGAUGCACGAAAGCGUGGGUAUCAAACAGGAUUAGAAACCCCUGUAGUCC